UACGAAGGGUGCAAGCGUUACUCGGAAUUAUUGGGCGUAAAGAGCUCGUAGGCGGUCUGUCGCGUCUGCUGUGAAAUCCCGAGGCUCAACCUCGGGCUUGCAGUGGGUACGGGCAGGCUAGAGUGCGGUAGGGGAGAAUGGAACUCCUGGUGUAGCGGUGGAAUGCGCAGAUAUCAGGAAGAACACCGAUGGCGAAGGCAGUUCUCUGGGCCGUAACUGACGCUGAGGAGCGAAAGCGUGGGGAGCGAACAGG
rnacentral:rRNA from 1 species